UGGGGAAUAUUGGACAAUGGGCGCAAGCCUGAUCCAGCAAUGCCGCGUGUGUGAAGAAGGCCUGCGGGUUGUAAAGCACUUUUGUCCGGAAAGAAAUUGUCCGAGUUAAUACCUUGGGCGGAUGACGGUACCGGAAGAAUAAGCACCGGCUAACUUCGUGCCAGCAGCCGCGGUAAUACGAAGGGUGCAAGCGUUAAUCGGACUUACUGGGCGUAAAGGGUGCGUAGGUGGUCUGUUAAGUCGGAUGUGAAAUCCCCGGGCUCAACCUGGGAAUGGCAUCUGAUACUGGCGGACUUGGAGUCUUGGAGAGGGUGGUGGAAUUCCUGGUGUAGCGGUGAAAUGCGUAGAGAUCAGGAGGAACACUAGUGGCGAAGGCGGCCACCUGGCCAAAGACUGACGCUGAGGCACGAAAGCGUGGGGAGCAAACAGG
rnacentral:rRNA from 1 species